UUCGCAAUGCCCGAAAGGGUGACGAAGCGACGCCGCGUGGGUGAAGAAGGCCUUCGGGUUGUAAAGCCCUGUCAGGAGUUAUGAAAUGUAAGUGCGCUAAUAUCGUGCUUAUUUGACAAAGGCUCCAAAGGAAGCCACGGCUAACUCUGUGCCAGCAGCCGCGGUAAUACAGAGGUGGCGAGCGUUGUUCGGAAUUAUUGGGCGUAAAGAGCACGUAGGUGGGUUUGUAAGUCAGAUGUGAAAGCCUUCUGUUCAACGAAAGAAUUGCAUCUGAAACUGCGAAUCUUGAGUAGAGGAGGGGAGAAUGGAACUUCUGGUGGAGCGGUGAAAUGCGUAGAUAUCAGAAGGAACGCCGGCGGCGAAAGCGAUUCUCUGGCCUAUUACUGACACUCAGUGUGCGAAAGCUAGGGGAGCAAACGGGAUUAGAUACCCCGGUAGUCCUAGCCGUAAACGAUGGGCACUAAGUAGAGGGGUUUU
rnacentral:rRNA from 1 species